AAAGAACACCGUUAGGUGAGGUUACUUUACGGAUAUGGCUAUUGCCCGGAAAUGUCGAGAGACGCCAACGGGUCAGUUGACACUAUCGAAUCAAGGUUUUGUCUAAUAUAGCUGACAGUUCUGUCUAUGCCGUAGAGAGCCAAAGCUCGACGAACAGGGGUGUGGC
rnacentral:sRNA from 23 species